GACGAACGCUGGCGGCGUGCUUAACACAUGCAAGUCGAACGAUGAAGAAAAGAAUUGAAGCUUCGGCAGAAAUUCAUUUCGGAUUAGUGGCAGACGGGUGAGUAACGCGUGAGCAACCUACCUCUUACAAAGGGAUAGCCUCGGGAAACCGGGAUUAAUACCAUAUAACAUUGCGACGAAGCAUUUCGAUGCAAUCAAAGCUACGGCGGUAAGAGAUGGGCUCGCGUCCCAUUAACCAGAUGGUGAGGUAACGGCUCACCAUAGUAACGAUGGGUAACCGGCCUGAGAGGGUGAACGGUCACACUUGAACUGAGACACGGUCCAGACUCCUACGGGAGGCAGCAGUGGGGAAUAUUGCACAAUGGAGGGAACUCUGAUGCAGCGACGCCGCGUGAGUGAUGAAGGAAUUCGUUUCGUAAAACUCUGUUCUAUGGGAAGAAAAGGACUGUACCAUAGGAGAAAGCUCCGGCUAAAUACGUG
rnacentral:rRNA from 1 species